rnacentral:rRNA from 1 species
CGUCUAGGCGGUUAUGCAAGUCUGAUGUGAAAUCCCGGGGCUUAACCCCGGAAGUGCAUCGGAUACUGCGUGACUAGAGUCCCGGAGAGGGUGGUGGAAUUCCUGGUGUAGAGGUGAAAUUCGUAGAUAUCAGGAGGAACACCCGUGGCGAAGGCGGCCACCUGGACGGUGACUGACGCUGAAGCGCGAAAGCGUGGGGAUCAAACA